UACGUAGGGGGCGAGCGUUGUCCGGAUUUAUUGGGCGUAAAGAGCGUGUAGGCGGCCAGGUAGGUCUGCUGUGAAAACUCGAGGCUCAACCUCGAGACGUCGGCGGAAACCAUCUGGCUAGAGUCCGAAAGAGGAGAGUGGAAUUCCUGGUGUAGCGGUGAAAUGCGCAGAUAUCAGGAGGAACACCGGUGGCGAAGGCGGUUCUCUGGGCCUUACCUGACGCUGAGGAGCGAAAGCGUGGGGAGCGAACAGG
rnacentral:rRNA from 1 species